rnacentral:tRNA from 1 species
AGUUAAUGAACUUGUUAAAGUAUUUAUUUUGAAAAUAAAAAAAAGAAAAUUAAAUUUUCUAUUAACUUUUACUAAAUUUUAUUAACAA